UGGAGGAAAGCAGGGGAUCGUAAGACCUUGCGCUUUUGGAGUGGCCGAUGCCUAAUUAGCUAGUUGGUGGGGUAAGAGCCUACCAAGGCGACGAUCAGUAGUUGGUCUGAGAGGACGACCAGCCACACUGGGACUGAGACACGGCCCAGACUCCUACGGGAGGCAGCAGUGGGGAAUUUUGGACAAUGGGCGAAAGCCUGAUCCAGCAAUGCCGCGUGAGUGAAGGAGGCCUUCGGGUUGUAAAGCUCUUUCAGUCGAGAAGAAAAGGUUGUGACUAAUAAUCACAACUCAUGACUGUAUCGACAGAAGAAGCACCGGCUAACUACGUGCCAGCAGCCGCGGUAAUACGUAGGGUGCGAGCGUUAAUCGGAAUUACUGGGCGUAAAGGGUGCGCAGGCGGCUUUGUAAGUCAGAUGUGA
rnacentral:rRNA from 1 species